rnacentral:ncRNA from 1 species
UUACGGGAGAGACUACUUAAGUGUAGCGCCGAAGGAGCAACCACCCCGGAAACUCUCAGGCAAAAGGACCGUA